AAGGAUUAAUUAUUGAUUAAUUUUGAAAUAAUUAUGGAAGUAAAAUCAUGUGAAGUCUUGUUAUAUUCACUAUCCCAAAAAGCCCCCGCAUUACUGUGACUUGGUCAUGCGAAUGGAACAAGGUCAUAAAGACACGAUAAUGGGGUAGCUCCUUGGAGACCGUGUACUGCAUGACGAUGCAGUGUCGGAUUGUUCAUACCGGACAUUCGACAAUGAUGGUGAUGCUAACUCACUAUUCUUGGUUAGCCUUAGUGGUUUCUCGGGUCUAGUAUAUAUAUUGUAUUAUAUGAGUAUGGUAACGGGCGGGUGUUGUGGAAGUGAUGUUUAAAAUAAGAAUUCACAAUGAUGAUCGAUAUUAAAGUAUAGUACUAGUACUUGCAUGAUCAUGUAUAUGCAUUUGAUAACUGUUUGGUUUAUUAUUGAUUGUGUUGUGAUUCUAGAUUCAGUGAGUAAAUUAGUUGCUCAUGACUCAUUCGUGUGUGCAGGUAACCCUUAGGCGGGAGACACUUUACUUUUUGGACGGAAGGAACGGCCAACCAGCGGACCGAUGGAUAAGCUAGUAAACCGGGGGUGUUUGUAUGUAUUUCGUGAGGAUUUAGAGAUGAUAAUGAAGAAAUAGGCUUGAAGAGACUUUUAUUAGAUAGAACGAACAAGAUUACAAGAUAUUGAGUAAGAACCCUAAUUCUAGCCGUCUAGUUCUAGUCUCUAAGCCUUGGAGAAGUCGAUCCCUUGCUUGAGGGCUAUUGUCGCUCUUAUAUAAUAGUCUAGAAGUCGGUUUCAUUAGGUUAAACUCUUCCAUAUUCAGAAAUAUGGAAGGUUCUCCUUGUCGGAAGUUUUCCAUUUCUUGGAAGGGAGCAGGGUCCAGGGACCGAGCCCAGGGUUCCCUCUGGUGGGGACCCGGGGUACCCAUUUAUCAGGGAUCCGGGGAUAUGAGUCCUGCUUGGAGGCUGGAGGAAAUAAUACCGGGAUAUUUUUCCCCAACAACGAGAACUCGAUGGUGACUAGCUUCAGAUCAAUAGAAUACGUAAUCCCCACAGGUAGAGGCCUCACCUAGGAUGGCAGCAUACGGUCCCUUUAAAAUACAAACCGAAUGCCCCAGGGUUAUCGAGAAUUUUCGGGUCCCCAUGAAGUCUCCGGGUCUUGAACAAAUUUCUUUAGGACCUGGAAAAAGUAAACCUCCAAUUUAUUUAUAAUGCUCGGGCCCAACUCCAAUACAAAGACGAAACCCGCGGGUUAGAUCAAUCUUUAAGAAGACCUCAGGGUCCAAAGACCACGAGUCUAAAUCCAAGACCUCAGGGUCAAGAAACCUACGGGUUUUAUAGAUUUUAGGGUCCGGGGACUACGAGUCCAAUUCCGGACCUCAGGGUCUAGAACCCAUGAGUACCCUAAGAAUUAUUCAUACUCUCUAAGUGAUCCUAGGCUCCCGAAAGAGAUCCAAUCCUACAAGACCUAUGAGGUCCGGUCAUCUUAAUGUCCAGAGGUUCUAAGGAACCUAGACACUCAGGAUCCUUGAGUCCUUCGACAAUCAUCUACAGCCUAAGAAGGCUCGAAAUUCGAUAAAGCUUACCAAAUACUCGGAUCAACGCCCAACUCUUCGAAGGCGAUCCAAGAUCCUAAGAUCAUUAGACGACCUGCAUUUUUUCCAAAAGAGAGACAAUCGCAGAAGCAAGCAUCAUAUAAAGAUCUCAAAAGAAGGAAAAAGCAAAUCCAGAAAAGCUUAUUUAAAGCAACAACAGGGCCAUCAUUCAAACAAAUUCAGAGCAACCCAAGAAAGGCCGCUACUACAACAAAGGAAAGAACAUAAAUUCAGGAGGAAGAUCCUCUAGGCCUCAAAUCGAUAUCCAUCCCAGAAUUCGGAGGAAAGGUGGGCUCGUUCUCAAAUGUAGGAACCGGGACACCUUUAUUCUUGGCCUCCUCCAAGACCACUGUCUUGUAUUGCGCCAAAGCCUUGGCCAGAUCCCAUUGGUCGUUCUUUCUCUGCAACCAUUCUCUCAUAAACUCCCACUGAGCGGUAAUUCUUGCCCCGCUUACAGCCAUCACCGUCUCAAGCCUCAGAGUUUCCAUGGCCUCUUCUAGCUCCUGGUUCUUCUUGCCAACGCUCAAUGCAUCCGCCGAGGAUAUCUCAUCAGACCUCUCCACAUCCUUGAUCUUAUCCUUAAGAUCACGAAUCUCCAGUUCACAGGCUACGCGUUGGGCCUUCUCCUCUGAAAGUUGAUUCUUCAGUUCUUCCAGCUCCUCUCGGCUGAUCAACGAGCUCUCAAGAGAUAGCUGCUCCCCAAGGUGAUAUAGCUGGGAGAUAUUCUACACGAAACCACAUCAACCUAUCAAAGAGCCGGAACGGAAAGAAAUCAGAAUCAUAACAACAUACCCGAAGAAGUCCUCCUUGAAGAACCUGGAUAACUUCCAGGGGCUCUCCCGAAGGAAGAGUGGUACCAUCAUGAGGAAACACUUGAAGAUUUAAGUUAGAUAGAGCAGCGGCAAGAUUUCCCGCAGAACGCACAACUUCAGCCGACUGGUAUGACGCCCAUGUCGCCACACCUCCACCCCUAGCCUUCCUGGCACGAGUCAAAACAGAGGGUUCGAUUUUCACCGUCGUCGCCUGACGACUUCCAGUAAUCAUCAAAUCAUCGCCAGAUACGGUUCUGCUCACAUACCCUUUUUUCCGGACAUACUCUUCGUCGCCUUUUGAUAAGCUACGAAAGGAUCAUUGCUAGUAUCUCCAGACAUACUUCCUGAGCCAAAGAAUGUCAAUCCUCGCAAAUAUUCAGAACAAAGCAAUCAAAAGUGAAAACGCUUACCCCAGAGGCUGCUACGUCGCAAGGCACUAUCACUAAGCAAGAAAGGUACUUGGCGACGAUCAAGAGGAAGUUGGCGUGCUCGAACCAUAAUAUCCUCUCCCUCCGGAAUAGCAGGAUGCAUUCCAGCUGCAAACACAACAAAGUGGGUCAGAGAUCAGACAAAGCAGAAUCAUGCGUAUCCCCUAGACCAACCUAUAAAGUUCCAAUGAUAGGAGUGCCCAGGGAGCGCCAUAAAAAUGUAUCGUUCCUGCCCCUUUUUAAUAAAAGCAGACCCCUUACGAUCACUUCUCGGCAGCUCCUCCACGAUAGGCAAUCCACUACGAGGACGAAGAUGGAGCCGACCUUCAUUCCCAUUAAGAGGGGCCAGAUGGUAGGAGUACAUAACCUCGUUAACUCCUAGACGGAGGAUUCAGCUGGGAAGGAGAGAUCUCGAAAAAUUCGCAUAAGGUCGCUAUAAGCGACGAAAUCACCCCUCUAAAGCCAUUAACGAAAAAAGCCUCAUAAAUAGCGAUCUGCCCAGGGAUAAAAUUAGAGACUCGCUCCUCCGGCGAAGGUACCUGGAGAGUAAAAGAGGAGGGAAGAGAAUAUUGUUGCCGCCACUCUACUAGAUCAUCCUCACUCACAGAAGACGCAGGACCUAUCGGGGAAGGAGAUGCGUAUGCGUAUGGAAUAGGAGCUGCUACGUCCUGUUUUGACCUCGAGCCUGGGUCAGGAGAGCUGUCGGAUCGUGAAGCCGGAGAAUCCAUUCUUCUCCUCGAGCCAGCUCUAUCAGUCAUCGGGGGCGUCAGAGAAGCGGAUCGUUUGGACAUGAUUGAUUGGUUCCUAAUCCAUAGAUGGUGACCACAACAGAAUAAGCAAACUAAGAGGCUAGGAAAUCACACCAGCAAGCUAAAGAAAGAAGGAUGAGAGAAGUACCUGAGCCGAACACGAAGAAAGGUGAGGAACAAAAGAAGAGUGUGCAGAAAUAUAUACAAAAAAGAAGAAGCUGUUGAAAGUCUUCCUUGGAAAGAUGCGCAUCUCACCAGAUCUCGGGCCGCGGGAUUCGAAAUUCAAAAAGAUACCUCCGCUAAAGAAGGGAAGAAAAAUAUCAGCCGAAUCUCUGAUAUUAAAAGAAGAAAUCAUCCGGGAACGGAAAGGACUCCUAUCUCUUUUAAACCGCGCGUGAACUGCACGACAAAGCUCCAGCCUUGUCAUCUCCAAGAAGAUAGAAGAAACUGCUGACAGAUAUCAACUGAAUACGAAGGGACCAGUCCUUACCUAGGUUCAGAAUGAGUUUCGACUUGAGUGGAACCUAGGCAAACAAGACUAGCGGAACAAAGUCCUGCCAAAGGGAGCCAGCUGAGAAUGAGCAACCCCGGUUGACUUGAAUGCAAAGGUUAUUCCCCGACUUCGAUGACAAAAUCGAGAAAUAAGGGGCAAACUGUGGGGGAAAAAUAUCCCUGUAUUAUCUCACCCAGCCUCCAGGCAGGACUCGGAUCCCCGGAUCCCUGAUAAAUGGGUACCCCGGGUCCACACCAGAGGGAACCCUGGGCUCAGUCCCUGGACCCUGCUCCCUUCCAAGAAAUGGAAAACUUCCGACAAGGAGAACCUUCUAUAUUUCCGAAUAUGGAAGAGUUUAACCUAAUGAAACCGACUUCUAGGCGAUUAUAUAAGAGCGACAACAGCCCUCAAGCAGGGGAUCGACUUCUCCAAGGCUUAGAGACUAGAACUAGACGGCUAGAAUUAGAGCUCUUACUCAAUACCUUGUAAUCUUGUUUGUUCUAUCUAAUAAAAGUCUCUUCAAGCCUAUUUCUUCAGUAUCAUCUCUAAAUCCUCACGAAAUACAUACAAACACCCUCGGUUUACUAGCUUAUCCAUCGUUCCGUAGUAUUCACAAAGAGCCUACACAAAAAUUUCCUAACAAUAGCUACAGGAGCAGCACAAGCAUCUGGGGUAUGAGCAGAAGCAUCACCCUCUAUGCAGACGUUCCCAGCUUCUCCAUCAAACCUUCGGCCAACUCCGACCAAUCCCCACCAUGGGGGGAAACGUCUCAUCCUUAUAAAAGAGAAGAAGAAAGUCUUACAGGCUCAACUUGAUCGUGCGCAACAGCGAUGUCCACCCCUAGAGCAUUUACUAGGUCCUACAUGGUGGUUCUUCCUUAUUAUCCACUUCCAGGCCAUCAGAAUCAUGGAUACAACUACAUCCACAUGACCAUCCUCACUCAGACCAAACACAUGCCCAUUGAAGCAUGUCUGUAAGUCUAUCUAAAUUUGUCCUGGCCAUGACAUCAUGCCCACCGGGUUCACCGACGAAUACACUACCUGAUCUAGACCACGUGUCUGUAUCGAGUCAAGGAUUAUUGCCUAUUCUCGAGGUCGUAUAUCUUCAAUCAGGCUGUGAAUCCUUUCAGAUCGAGCGCAAGUACAUCCACGCAUACUCGAUAAGGAAGUUUGAAGACCCUGGCUACGAGCCGACGUCCUACUCCAAAUUCAACAAGGAGCUUGAUACCAUGGUGAAACUCAUGAAGUCCUAUAAAGAAAAUCAUGUUAUUUACUUCUUUCAAACAUGAAACCAGAAAAUAAGGGGCAAAUUGUUGGGGAAAAAUAUUCCAUGAAGAGAUUACUCCAGCAUCCGGCUUCCAGGUUCCUGCCUCCAGGUUUCGGAUUCCUUUCCCCGAGUCUGGGUCCCUUCCCCCGGGUCUGGGUCCCUGCCUCCAGCCUCCGGCUUCUAGGCCGAGUGAUUUCUCCUACCUUAGGAUAAAUGAAAAUCUUCCUUUAAUAGGAUAACCAGCUUGGACAAGAGUGAAUCUCCUUAAAUCCGAGAGAAAGAGGAAGUACUCCAAUACAUAUGACCUUCCUUAAGAAAAAGGAAAAUAUUCUAUUAUCUAAGGAUAUAAUGAAUAUUUCCAAAUCCAAAGAGAGAGGCAUGACCUCCACUAUAAAAAAGGUUUCUAAACUUAAAGGAAAGGUGGAAGACAUCCAGCUCCAAAACUCGCCAAUUCUACAGCCGCCAAGGCAAGUUUUCGCACCUAAAAGACCAUCUUCAUCAACAUGCUCAUAACGGACGAAUCCCUGCGACUACUAUCAACCAGAUGAAGAUAUAUGCUCACUGCAGCACGUCUACAACUCUACUUACUGGCUCAGGCCACGAUCUCCAGCUCAUCAGUAGGGUCCAUCCAUGCUCACUGAAGCACCUUGACACAUCAUGCUCACUGUAGCAUAUCGACAGGUCUACCAUCUGUUCCGGCCAUGUGCCCCCUAGAAACAGAUGAUUCCUACCAACUACAGAGCCCCGUGCUCCCAAGGCUACGUGCUCAUUAGGCCAUGUGCCCACUAGAGCCCCGUGAUCCCAAGGCCACGUGCCCAUUAGGCCAUGUGCCCACUAGAGCCCCAUGCUCCCUAGGCUAUGUGCCCAUUAGGCCAUGUGCCCACUAGAGCCAUGUGCUCCCAAGGCUGUGUGCCUCCAUUAGGCUACGCGCCUCCAUCAGGCUACGUGCCUCCAUCAGGCUCCCUGCCUCCAUAUACAUGAACUAUGAAUGGCUUGAUCCCUCACUGAAGGGUACGUAGGCAAUCCCCACUGAAUGAUGUAACUAUAAAUCCAAACACCUUCCAUGGUCCCGUGCAUAGAUACCUAAGGACCGACCUUGGUAGCCGGAACCAUCAAGUACAGAUAAGGAGGCCUCCAUGGACCGACCUUGGUAGCCGGAACCAUCGAUCAUAGAUCAUGAAGACCCCGCAAUCUUCGCUAUCGAUAGCCCCCCCCCCCAGCCUUACGACCAAUCUCCCCUACUGCUUCUAAGGCACCGAUGACCUAUACUGGUCCAUGCCCAUAUGGCAGUAUCCUAAGAGCAGGAUCUCAUGGUUUCUCAACUAUCGAACCAGGAGAAUAUACUCAACGACAUGUCUCCUUCCUCCUAUCAUUCCGUAGAGCUGGGUACGUAUCGCUUGUACACAAAACUCCCCUAACACUAGCGCUCCAACGGAAUUUGAUAUUUUUCUGGAGGAGAUAGUACCAUCUAUUUCCCCCCAGAUGAAUCAAAUAUUACUAAAGAUAGCAACGGAGGAGGAGGUCCGACAAGCUUUAAUCAUGAUGCAUCCAGAGAAAGCGCUAGGUCCGGGCGGAAUGACAGCUCUUUUCUUUCAGCACUACUCGCAUGUUAUUAAAAAACAUUUGGUUGAGAUGGUGAAUAUUUUUCUGGCUACAGGAGAUAUGGAUUCACGGUUAAAUAUUACCGAUAUGUGUAUGAUCCCGAAAACAGAGAGACCUACAAGGAUGACGGAACUAAGGUCAAUAAGUCUAUGUAAUGUUGGUUAUAAGAUUUAUCUCAAGAGUUUUAUGUCAAAGACUGAAAAUAUGCCUUCCACGGUUAAUAUCAGAGACACAAUUGGCUUUUUGUGGCGGGAAGGUUAAUAUCUGAUAAUAUUCUUAUAUCUCAGAAAAUGUUUCAUGGAUUGAGAGCAAAUAAGUCUUGUCAAAACAUGUUUAUGGCAAUCAAAACGGAUAUGAGCAAAGCGUAUGAUAGGGUAGAGUGGAACUUUAUUGAGGCUUUUUUCCACAAAAUGGCGUUUGAUCCUCAUUGGGUUAAAUUGAUGCUGGAGUGUAUAUCUUCGGUUCAAUAUCGGGUACUUCUUAAUGGUCAGCCAUGGGGUCUUAUAAUUCCUCGGCAGAGUUUACGUCAAGGGGACCCUUUGUGUGCUUAUUUAUUUAUUAUGUGCACUGAGGCUUUGAUUUUACAUACCAGUAUGAAGGUAGCAAGAGCUUGUCAAGCAAUUUCUCAUAUGUUAUUUACAGAUGAUAGUAUGUUCUUUUGCAAGGUACAAAAAGAAGAGUGUAAAACCAUUCUUAGGAUUCUAAAGGAAUAUGAGGCUGUCUCAGGGCAACAAAUUAAUUUCUAGAAAUCCUCAGUUCAUUUGGACAUAAGAUUGAAGAAUCCAGUUGACAAGAAUUGAGAGAUAUUUUUGGGAAUUAAUAACCUAGGUAGGAUGGGAUCUUAUAUAGGAUUGCCAGAAAGCCUUGGAGGAUCUAAGGCACAAGUGUUUAGUUUUGUACAAAAUCGUUUGAAUAAUAGGAUUAAUGGAUGGACUUUUAAAUUCUUCAAUAAAGGAGGAAAGGAGGUGAUCAUUAAAUCGGUGGUCACUGCUCUGCCAAACCAUGCGAUGUCUGUUUAUCGGUUACCAAAGGCUACUGUAAAGAAAUUAACGAGUGCAAUAGCUCAGUUUUGGUGGAGUACAGGAGGAAGCGCAAAAGGGAUGCAUUGGAAAUCUUGGGACAAAUUAUGCUUAUAUAAAGAUAAUGGUGGAUUAGGCUUUAAGGAUCUUACAGAUUUUAACCCAGCGAUGCUUGGAAAGCAAUUAUGGCGGGUGAUAGAGAAACCAGAUACACUAUUUUCUCGAGUUUUAAAAGAACGGUACUACUGGAAUGCCUCACCCCUGGAACUGAUCCGUUCAUAUUUUCCGUCAUAUGGCUGGAGGAGUAUCAUAUAUGCUAGAUCUCUGGUUAGUAAAUGACUAUUAAAAGAGUGGGAACAUGUUCUUCUAUUUUGGUAUGGAAUAACCCCUGGAUCCCAACCACUUGCCCGAGGCCAGCAAACAAAAACCUUCAUAACAGUUACUUGGAUUUCACAGUGGAUUCUCUCAUUAAAUUGUAAUCCCGAACAUAGAAUUUGCAGGCAAAUAGGGCUUUGGUGGAUCCUCAUGAUGUCAAAAUUAUUGAAAGUAUUCCACUGAGUAGAAAUCAGCUGGAGGAUAGAAAUGGAUGGCAUUUUACCAACAAUGGGAAAUAUACGGUGCAAUCAGGGUACCAAUUGGAACGGGUCUACCCUGAUAAGAAAAAACCACCAGAAUUUUAUGGACCCAUAGUGGAUAUAUUAAAAGCAUUCUGAUGGGAUGUGCGGUGUCCUUCGAAGAUAAAUCACUUUUUAUGGAAAAUUCUAUCAGGGUGUCUAGCGGUCAUGAAAAAUCUAAAACGAGAGGGAUACAAGAGGAUAUAUGUUGUGCACGAUGUGGAGAUCCGGAGGAAUCAAUAAACCAUGUGUUCCUUGAAUGUCCUCCAACACGUCAAGUCUGGGCACUAUCUAAGAUACCAUCGAAUCCUCAUAUGUUCCCUAUCAGUUCUUUUUCGCCAAUAUGGACCAUCUUUUUUGGAGAGUUAGUCCAAAGAUGGAUGAUCACCAAUUUGCAUUGAUAUUAUGGUAUAUUUGGAAAGGGCGGAACAAAAAAGUGUUUAACAAUCUAGAUAUUGAUCCAAGAGAAACGUUAAAAAUAGCGGAACUAGAAUCAGCACUUUGGACUGAGGCACAUGUAACAAAUAAUCAGACGUUGGUACAUCAAGUACAGAACAGGUCCAUACCAGCAAUCCCAGGAAGAUUGUGUUUCAUUGAUGGUUCCUGGAAAGAUAUGGACCUAUUUUCCGGACAAGGCUGGUACAUCACUUUACCGAGUUUUGAUGGAUUAUUAGGGGCAAAGAAUGUAAGGGCAAGUCUCUCACCUCUCCAUUUGGAGGUGGAAGCGCUAAUAUGGGCAAUGGAAUGCAUGAAGAAUUUAAGACAUUUUCAGGUCACAUUUGCAACGGAUUGUUCUCAAUUGGUAAAGAUGGUUUCAGAACCAGAAGAAUGGUCAACAGUUGAUAGUUACAUGGAAGACAUUAAUCUUUUGAAAAGAAGUUUCGUCAACUCAGAAAUCAUUCAUGUACCUCAGACGGAGAAUCUAAAGGAGGAUAGCUUAGCACACAGUGCUAGGAAACAACCGUCUUUCGUUGUUCACAUGGAUGCAGAGUUACCGAUCUGGUUUACUGAGUCAGUAUAAAUCUGUAAAGGUUUGCUGUCAAAAAAAAAAAAAUCUAACACAAAGGUUCAAAUUGAUGCUGCAUCACAACAUCAGGACGAGUUCGACCUUGAAUCUUGGAGAAUCCUUAUUGGACCAAUAUGGUGUAGUAUGUCGAUGAUUAGAUCAGUAGUUGAACCAAAGGUGAUCCAACACACAAUUCAACCAGCCAAACUGCUAACUAGGACAUAUGUUUAGUGAAAAUGUCAUAUCCUACAAUUCAAAUGGGAUUUCACCAUGAAUGCGAUUUUCAUGGAUUAUAUAUUUAACAAGCCGUCUUGUCCAAGUUGGGAAUCAACUCCAAAACUAUCCAGGCCAGAACGAUACAAAUUUUACAAAUUAAAGGGUUUCCAACCCGUUCAUCAAGCCAAAUUAAAAAGUGACCAUACUCAAACCAAAUUAUAGACUUGUAGAUAGAUCCCAUAGCUUUCUAAGAAGUCCAAAA